UCGCUGCGCCGACGGCGAAGCCCAAGGCGAAAGCCACGACCGCCGCCUCCCAGCGAGAAGGAUAAAAGAAUUCGGGGGUAUUUUUGUGCCCUCAAGUCGGGAAAUACGGCAAAAAAAAAACUAAGGAACGGCCGAAAUGGCAGGCAUUACAUUCUGACAAAACACUGUACUGAGGAUGGCAUAAUGUCCAAUUUCUCCCCUUCUCCUCUACUCGCCGCCCCCUCCACCACCGGCGACCCUGCCACCCGCAGCAAUCCUCAUCGCCGCCUACCCCCUCGACCCCACCGCCCAUCCCCUCCGCCGGCGGCCAUCUUGCCGCCCGUCCCCUCCACCAACGGUCACCCUGCCGCCCGUCCCCCCCGCCGUCGUUCACCCUGCCGCCCGUCUCCUCCACCGAUGACGAUCCCGUCGCCUGCCCCCUCCGCCGUCGGUCACCACGCCGCCUGCCCCUCCGUCGACGAAUAGCCCACCACCUGCCCCCUCUGUUGACGGCGACCCCGCCGCCCAUCCCCUCUGCCGUCGGAGGCCACCCAUCCACCCAUCCCCCUCGCCAUCAUCGUCUCCUCCGUUGCCUUCUCACUGCCGAAGACAAGUCCACAUGGCAGAGGAGCCAGCUUCGGCACGAUGCCUCCUGGAAAGCGUAAACUAGAAGAGGUAGCACCUCAUAAAUAUUAUGAGGUCUUGGAAUCAAUACAUUGGCUUCAAUUUUUAAGAAAUCAAGUGCAAGAAACAAGGUUCCUGAUCGUGAAGACUCUGGUUCUUUGUAUGAACCUGGAUGAGUAACGACGACAAGAUCUAAGAAGGGUAAGCACCAAAAACUGACAUUGAAGUUGUUUCUAAAGUUUUACCUAAAUCAAAGUUUGUUCAAAAUGUUGGCCUUGAGUCAUCUGCCCCAAAGAGAAGUGGCAAAGUUGUUGCUACCUGUGUUGAAGAGCUUGAAGCUAAACUUGAGGCAGAGAAGCAAGGUGCAGCAGAUGUUAGAGAAAUAGUUGAUUAUCAACAAGUUGAGUUGGAUUCCUUGAAGAAGAAGGUAGAAGAAUCAGAAGAAGGAAUGAAGCAACAGCUAGAAGAGAUUGAAAGUUUAAAGAAGUCAUCAGAUCAGACCAAUAACCUUCAUCAUUUGAUUGGCCUGAAUACCAUAAUUGCUCAGCCUCAGUAAGGUUUACUAUCUCUAUGUUGUCUUUUUCAUUCAAGAUACGAGAUGGCUGCAUUCUUUUGGUUGCUGUGCUUUUGGACAUGGUGUGAUUUAGGCAUGUCAUUCAUGGUGGACUAGACCUAUGUUGAUGUGAGGUGGCUGCAAGCUUGUGCUAUUGUGAUUUUGGAUAUAUCAAUUUGUUGAUUUAGACAUGUCUUUAUUAGUGAACUGGACCUGUGAGCUUUUUGCAAGCUCUACUGUUGUGA